rnacentral:rRNA from 1 species
AGUGAACGCUGGCGGUAGGCCUAACACAUGCAAGUCGAACGGCAGCACAGUAAGAGCUUGCUCUUACGGGUGGCGAGUGGCGGACGGGUGAGGAAUACAUCGGAAUCUACUUUUUCGUGGGGGAUAACGUAGGGAAACUUACGCUAAUACCGCAUACGACCUACGGGUGAAAGCAGGGGAUCUUCGGACCUUGCGCGAUUGAAUGGGCCGAUGUCGGAUUAGCUAGUUGGCGGGGUAAAGGCCCACCAAGGCGACGAUCCGUAGCUGGUCUGAGAGGAUGAUCAGCCACACUGGAACUGAGACACGGUCCAGACUCCUACGGGAGGCAGCAGUGGGGAAUAUUGGACAAUGGGCGCAAGCCUGAUCCAGCCAUACCGCGUGGGUGAGGAAGGCCUUCGGGUUGUAAAGCCCUUUUGUUGGGAAAGAAAAGCAGCAGGUUAAUACCCCGCUGUUCUGACGGUACCCAAAGAAUAAGCACCGGCUAACUUCGUG